GUCCUCAGGCUUUUGGCUCAGUGUGCGGGGAGAGCGCAGGUUCUGGUCCUUCUCCGUGGAGCCCUCAGGGUUUUGGCUCAGUGUGCGGGGGGAGCACAGGUUCUGGUCGUUUUCCGUGGAGCCCUCAGGGUUUUGGUUCGGAACGCAGGGAAGGUCACUUUUAAUUCCCUUCAGCCUGGCUCCAAGGUGGAGACCAGUUUAAAGUUCAGCAUUUAUCCUGGUACCAUGUCCUGUCUAUGUUCUUCUCUACCACUGAGCUUGCCUUUCUUCAUCAGCGCAUGUCUGUCUGAGCUCGCUGCCUGACUCAUAAAACUCUGAACCUGCCUUCACGUUCUGAGGAUUCCUGGAAUGCUGCAUCUGUCUGUUCCUGUUCGGAUUGGAACCCCUGGUUGGGCUACGGACUCCACAGGAUUGCUCUCAUGGCUGCUCACUCGGGUUGCUGCAUCGGGGACACUAUGGAUGGCUCUGAGCCACAUCUUUGAUGUGAUUGGCAUUCCAUUGGCUGGAUCUUGCCUUCCUUGGAGAGGAUAGACUGAGCUGUUAAACCAGAACCCUGAACCUGCCUGAACUCUUUUUGGAUUCCUGGAACCCUGGAUCUGCAUGUUCCUGUUCUGAACCCCUGACCAGGCUACAGACUCCUGGAUCUCAGAACUGUCCUGUUCUGAACUGUUUCCCUGACCUGGCUUGGACUCCUGCCUGUUUACUGGGGCUGCUGUGGUUGGGCGUCAUCCGCCGCAUCUCAUUGGCAGCCCUCCGGCUGGAUCCUGCAUCACUCCAAGGAGUUGGACUGCACUGUUAAACCAGAUUCUUCUGCUCCUCUGCCUGCUCUGGCUUCUGCUCAUCAGUGCUCUGUUUCUCUCCUGGACCUCUGGAAUCGGCUUCCGCCGCAAGCUACGGAGAAACACUCCCUCUUGACUGCAUUCUGUUUUCUGGGCUCAGACUGAAC